UGCGUAGGUGGCGCCGUAAGUCGGGUGUGAAAUUUCGGAGCUUAACUCCGAAACUGCAUUCGAUACUGCGGUGCUUGAGGACUGGAGAGGAGACUGGAAUUCAUGGUGUAGCAGUGAAAUGCGUAGAGAUCAUGAGGAAGACCAGUGGCGAAGGCGGGUCUCUGGACAGUUCCUGACACUGAGGCACAAGGGCCAGGGGAGCAAACG
rnacentral:rRNA from 1 species